rnacentral:lncRNA from 1 species
GUGAAGGAGAAGGCCGGUGUAAUCCGGAGUACCGGUAAACUCCCUGGAAAAGCAUGCUGUUUCUGACACUAAAAAACAGAUGAUAUUAGAUAACUGCAGUUAUAUAUAUGUAUGUAUGUGUGUGCGUGAGAGAUGAUAUUGGUUUCAGUAAAAGAAAGAAGAUCUUGAAAGCCAAAAGUGUAUGUUAUAGAGAGCUCUCAAAGAUACUUUCUUAAAACAAAAACAACACAACACUCAAAAGACAAUUGUACUUCCUUUCCUUCUCUGUCUCUACUUUUUGGAAUGGUUUCUCAUCCAGUGAUCACAUCACAUUCACCAGUAAGUAUAGCAGCUUCAAUCAUAACAUAAAUUGCAAAAAGCAUGAUGCAGUUUAUAUGGAUUAUUUCUCAUUCACUGGAUCAACAACACUACAAAUGUUAUGUGAAGAGCAGAGAGGAAUAGGCUGAGAAUAAUUGCUUACUUUAAUCAAAGCCUUGUAAGCCAUUGAAAAGUUUGUUGAAGAGUUGGUCUGUUUCGAGAUAUAUGAAUCUAUUGAUGGCAGUGAUAAUAGCUUGUGAGACUGUGAGCUAUAGUAGGACAAAAGCCAAAUUCAACUGAGAAAUGGAUUGUUGCUUGAAUUUAUUAAGCUCCUCAUAGUGAAGCCAUUUUACAAAAACC